AUAAUGUUUAUCGAUGAGAAAACAGAAAUUUGAAGAGGCAAAGCAAGUUGCCCAAGGCCAAGGGAGAAGGGCUUACAAUUAAGUCCAUACCCCCGCCUCCCGCCUGGCUUUCACUUCCUUGCUUUUGGAGAGAAGAUGAAUGGAAAUGUAUGACUUUGUCUGUGGUAUAAAGACAUGGAUUCAAGUUCAGGGUUUGCCAUGGACCUGCCGUGUGACCUUUGGGAAGGUCCACAGAAAACAUCCUGGGGUCCUGAGCUGAAGUGUGAUGGGAGGAGUCCUCUGUAUCUCAGUCUGAUCCUGGUCUCCCUCUCGGCCAUGGUCUCACACUAGUGCUGCUGGGAAACCAUCCCUCACAUCCAGUCCUGGCAUCGGGCAGUGACUCUGGUCCAACUGUUGUCCAACUCAAGGGUUUAGCUGCUUAGAUUUUCCUAAAACUUGAAUUUCAUUUUCCUCUAGCCAUGGAAUACAGAUUAAUCCUUUACAAUUAAAAUCCAAGUUCAGAUUUUAUUUGUUGUGGUUUUUAAUUAAAAUCUCACCAGCACUUUGUGGAUUUUUUUUUUCUUAGAAAGGCAAACACACUGUGCGUAUCAGUCAGCCUGGACUGCCAUCACAAAAUACCAUAGACUGUGUGUCUUAAAACAACAGAAAUGUAUUUUCUCACAGUUCUGGAGGCUGGAAGUUCAAGGUCAAUGUUCUGGAUGAUUUGGUUUCCAGUGAGGCCUCUCUUUCUUGCUUGCAGAUGGCUGCCAUUCUUCUGUGUCCUGUAGGGAAGUUCAAACUUUUCCUCUGAAGGUUUGAACAAACUGACAAUAUGCAGACUAAUAGGAGGAAGAAAGGCAUUCAAAGUUGCUAAUGUGCAUAAGCACAAGGCCACAGAAAAUAUGAGAUUCAAAG
rnacentral:lncRNA from 10 species